rnacentral:lncRNA from 1 species
AACAAAUUAACAAACAAAUAAAAUCAAAGUCAAAAAUUAUACAUAUUAAAUAAUAUAUACAAAAUUUAAAAUUAUAAAAAAAUAUAUUUAAAAAAUUUAACAAACAAAUAAUAAAUAAAACAAAACAUACCAAAACAAAAUAUAUAGAAUAUUAAAAAAAAUUAAUUUAACAUAAUAAUAUAAGAAAAAAAAAACAAAAAUAUACCUCACUGUCAGUUCAAAACGAACCACAACUCACUGUACCAGUUAACACCUGUCGCAUUUCAAACUGUGGCUGCCUUAGCCGCAUCUCCAACUGCGGCUAUCCUUAACCGCAUGCCCAAGUGCGGUUAUGCACGGCUGCACCUCCAACGGCGGCAACCCUUAACCGCAUCCCCAAGUGCGGUUAUGCACAGCCGCACCUCCCAGGUGCGACGCCCCUCAAUCGCACCACUCAGGUGCGACACUUCUCGACCGCGCCUCCAAAUGCGGUUCUACGCGAGCACCUCCCUCUGAACCCAGCCCAGAUCAAAUACCCAACUCCAACUCUAACCCAAACUCAAUCCUAGCAACGAAUUCAUGGUUCCUCUCACACAACAUAUAAACAUAUAAACAACAUAUAAACGUAUAAACAAUAGAUCUACCAAACAAAUAGGCUAAUGUAGUUAAAGGAUAAACAAUGCAACUAACCUGGACGCCUUGCUAGAAGAAGGGUUGGAUCUCACCACCACAGCAACACUAAACAACCACC